rnacentral:rRNA from 1 species
UGGGGAAUCUUGCACAAUGGGCGAAAGCCUGAUGCAGCAACGCCGCGUGAGCGAAGAAGGCCUUUGGGUCGUAAAGCUCUGUCCUAAGGGAAGAAGGAAGUGACGGUACCUUAGGAGGAAGCCCCGGCUAACUACGUGCCAGCAGCCGCGGUAAUACGUAGGGGGCAAGCGUUAUCCGGAAUUAUUGGGCGUAAAGAGUACGUAGGCGGUUCUUUAAGCGUAGGGUCUAAGGCGAUGGCUUAACCAUCGUUCGCCCUGUGAACUGGAGGACUUGAGUAUCGGAGAGGAAAGCGGAAUUCCUAGUGUAGCGGUGAAAUGCGUAGAUAUUAGGAGGAACACCAGUGGCGAAGGCGGCUUUCUGGACGAAAACUGACGCUGAGGUACGAAAGCGUGGGGAGCAAACAGG